GAUGAACGCUGGCGGCGUGCCUAAUACAUGCGAGUCGAGCGAACAGAUAAGGAGCUUGCUCCUUUGACGUUAGCGGCGGACGGGUGAGUAACACGUGGGUAACCUACCUAUAAGACUGGGAUAACUUCGGGAAACCGGAGCUAAUACCGGAUAACAUUUGGAACCGCAUGGUUCUAAAGUGAAAGAUGGUUUUGCUAUCACUUAUAGAUGGACCCGCGCCGUAUUAGCUAGUUGGUAAGGUAACGGCUUACCAAGGCGACGAUACGUAGCCGACCUGAGAGGGUGAUCGGCCACACUGGAACUGAGACACGGUCCAGACUCCUACGGGAGGCAGCAGUAGGGAAUCUUCCGCAAUAGGCGAAAGCCUGACGGAGCAACGCCGCGUGAGUGAUGAAGGGUUUCGGCUCGUAAAACCCUGUUAUUAGGGAAGAACAAAUGUGUAAGUAACUGUGCACGUCUUGACGGUACCUAAUCAGAAAGCCACGGCUAACUACGUG
rnacentral:rRNA from 1 species